rnacentral:lncRNA from 1 species
AUCAUUACAAAUCUUGCAAGUCUCCAGCCAAAGCUAAAGCCUUUUUGUAUGAAUCUCUCAUAGUGGAUUAUAGUUAUAGUUUAUGAUUAACUCAAGGUGAUUACUAGUUCAAAAUCCUCUUCCAGCAAUGGCUACAAUGGAAUUCCACGUCUAAGACUCUGCCUCUCGUCGCACAAGAUUGGAAUAUCACUUCAUAAGAUAUUUGAAUUAAUUCACCAUGAUGUAAAAAAUCUAAGAGGCAAGGUUCUUGACUACAACAAGUAAAAAGCUUAUCAUUAAUACAUCGCUGUGCAAAUUUUAUCAUCAACGGCCCUACGCACAACUGCAUUCCCCCCGGCUCGGCAAAUUUAAAUCUUGAUGUUGAAGUAGUCGG